rnacentral:lncRNA from 1 species
UCCUCUUUGUUAAAUCUGGGUCGUUCAUUUAAGGAGACGUGGUUCAUUCUCAGCUGUUAUAUUAAUCCUAUCUAGGGAAUGAAUCUAGACCGCACGAUCAAAUAAAAUCAAGACCAUUCGAUCGUACCUUAAAGGGAAAUAAAUCUGGACUGUCCGUGAGCGUGGGAGGAGAUCUGGACUAUUGGAUCUGCUAGCAUGAGGAUCGCCUGCGUGACCUCCGAACAUGGACACGUGCCCACGUGUCU